rnacentral:rRNA from 1 species
AUUGAACGCUGGCGGCAUGCCUUACACAUGCAAGUCGAACGGCAGCACGGGUGCUUGCACCUGGUGGCGAGUGGCGAACGGGUGAGUAAUACAUCGGAACAUGUCCUGUAGUGGGGGAUAGCCCGGCGAAAGCCGGAUUAAUACCGCAUACGAUCUACGGAUGAAAGCGGGGGACCUUCGGGCCUCGCGCUAUAGGGUUGGCCGAUGGCUGAUUAGCUAGUUGGUGGGGUAAAGGCCUACCAAGGCGACGAUCAGUAGCUGGUCUGAGAGGACGACCAGCCACACUGGGACUGAGACACGGCCCAGACUCCUACGGGAGGCAGCAGUGGGGAAUUUUGGACAAUGGGCGAAAGCCUGAUCCGGCAAUGCCGCGUGUGUGAAGAAGGCCUUCGGGUUGUAAAGCACUUUUGUCCGGAAAGAAAUCCUUAGCCCUAAUACGGUCGGGGGAUGACGGUACCGGAAGAAUAAGCACCGGCUAACUACGUG